rnacentral:rRNA from 1 species
CCAGCAGCCGCGGUAAUUCCAGCUCCAGUAGCGUAUAUUAAAUUUGUUGCAGUUAAAAAGCUCGUAGUUGAAGUUCUGUGGGGCGGGCGAGGAGGCUCCGGCCGACUUACCUUCCCCACAUCCGCUAGAACAGCGGCAGUGGCAUUGAGUUGUUGUUGUCGUGAUCUGGCCGUUUACCUUGAGCAAAUUAGAGUGUUCCAGGCAGGCUCUGGCCUGAAUAGUCCAGCAUGGAAUAAUACAAUAGGACUGAGUCCCAUUUGUUGGUGUUAUGGUGCUUAGUAAUGAUUAAUAGGGACAGUUGGGGGCAUUCGUAUUUAAUUGUCAGAGGUGAAAUUCUAUGAUUUAUUAAAGACGAACUUAUGCGAAAGCAUUUGCCAAGGAUGUUUUC